UUUGCACAGGACUGGCCAUGUGUUCUGUAGGAAAUCUGGACAGGCAGCUGACCCUGUGCGUCCUAGCCCUCUGGCUGGCACAUGUCACCGCACAGAAGGUCCUGACCCAGCCUGCUGUUUUAUCUGUGAGUUUGGGACAAAAGGCCACACUGGACUGUAACAUUCAGAGAGAUGAUGGUUACCAUGCAGCUUGGAUGAAGCAGGUCUCAGGGAGUCCUCCUCAGUUUAUUUUACGUUACUACCACUCUCACAGUUCCCCUGACCUUUAUGGCACUGGCUUCUCUUCCAGUCGGUUCAACUCAAAAGCCCAAAACACAAUUGAUUACCAGUUAAUAAUCAGUAACGUGGAGGAGCUGGACAGCGCUGUCUAUUACUGUUACAAUUGGGACACAACAGCCAGCGCUGGGGUAUCACAGUGA